AAAAAGUAUCUGUUCUUUGCCAAGAAAAUUAUCUAAUUCAGGAAGGAGAAGAAAUUACAUGCAAAGAUGGAAGAUGGCAGUCAAUACCACUCUGUGUUGAAAAAAUUCCAUGUUCACAACCACCUCAGAUAGAACAUGGAACCAUUAAUUCAUCCAGGUCUUCACAAGAAAGUUAUGCACAUGGGACUAAAUUGAGUUAUACUUGUGAAGGUGGUUUCAGGCUAUCUGAAGAAAAUGAAACAACAUGCUACAUGGGAAAAUGGAGUUCUCCACCUCAGUGUGAAGGCCUUCCAUGUAAAUCUCCACCUGAGAUUUCUCAUGGUGUUGUAGCUCACAUGUCAGACAGUUAUCAGUAUGGAGAAGAAGUUACGUACAAAUGUUUUGAUGGUUUUGGAAUUGAUGGGCCUGCAAUUGCAAAAUGCUUAGGAGAAAAAUGGUCUUACCCUCCAUUGUGCAUAAGUAUGGUGCAUUGAAUUUUAUUAUAUGUAUGAUAAAUAUUCUUCAUUCAAAGUAUAAAUGGUGCCAAUAAGAAAGUAAACAGUGACUCUAGAAAUUCAUAAGGUUUUCUUGAAUAUUCUGGACUGUUGUGGGAAAUUAUAGCUGUAGUAAUUAAAACAUUUGACAUUAUAAGACAAAUUGGUUCAUUUUCACAUCAUCUUGUGUGAACUUUAAGCAUCCUCUGAUGUAUAUUCUCAGACUUCUUAUCUCUGUUCUUAGGGCACAGCUACCUCUACUCAUCAAUCUCCACAUUAU
rnacentral:sRNA from 1 species